UACGUAGGGUGCGAGCGUUUAAUCGGAAUUACUGGGCGUAAAGGGUGCGCAGGCGGUCUCGUAAGCUGGGUGUGAAAGCCCCGGGCUUAACCUGGGAAUGGCAUUCAGGACUGCGAGGCUUUGAGUGCGGCAGAGGGAGGUGGAAUUCCACGUGUAGCAGUGAAAUGCGUAGAGAUGUGGAGGAACACCGAUGGCGAAGGCAGCCUCCUGGGCCAGCACUGACGCUCAUGCACGAAAGCGUGGGGAGCAAACAGGA
rnacentral:rRNA from 1 species